UUGACUUUUAAGUCUAAUGAAGUAUUCACCUCUGAUUUGGGAGACCCAUCAUCAUCAGGAUUCCAAACACGCUCUGGACAUAUAAUGAAUCGACUCGACCCACUUUUCAGAAGAGCUUUCCCCUCAUUCCAAAAAACUGGAGCCAUGAGAUUCAGGGCUGGAUCAAUUAUCAACUCUGUGGAUCUUGAAUUUCAGUCAUCAUCUUCUCCUAAUGAUACACUAAUUAAAGACAUUUUGGUUAAUGAGG